rnacentral:rRNA from 1 species
UACGUAGGGGGCAAGCGUUGUCCGGAUUCAUUGGGCGUAAAGAGCGUGUAGGCGGCCAGGUAGGUCGGUUGUGAAAACUGGAGGCUCAACCUUCAGAGGUCGACCGAAACCAUCUGGCUAGAGUCCGGGAGAGGAGAGUGGAAUUCCUGGUGUAGCGGUGAAAUGCGCAGAUAUCAGGAAGAACACCCGUGGCGAAAGCGGCUCUCUGGAACGGUACUGACGCUGAGACGCGAAAGCGUGGGGAGCGAAUGGG